GAAAUUAAUUCUUGGAUUUAAUAUUAUAUAACAAGAUUUAUAUUAGAACUUACAUUUUAAAUCUUAAAACAACCGCUAGAAGUGUUUUUUUUUCUAGCUUUGCAUCGCUUACAAAAACCGAAUAAACACACGCCGACCAUGCAUUUGGGCGAUUCACGCUCUGUGGGCUCCGUAAUGGCGGACAUAAGCGCCGUUUCCUGACAUGACGUUGUUAUUUCCUAUUGGUAUGAGCAGACGCGCACGUUAAUCUUGUUGAUUGAGUAUAACUUAAACGCAGGCAAUUUCUUUGUUCACAAUUUGAGUUCAAAUCAUAGGCAUCGCUAAUGUAUUUAGAUGUCGUUUUAGUUUUACAGAAUAAUAAAACCAUUCUAAUUUUCAGUGUGUUUUGACAAUGGAAAAGUUAAAAUUGUUUUUCGUGCUUUUGAUAACUUUUAGCUCAUCUGUCGAGUUGGUAUUUGGGUUUCCCGGAUUACGUAAGGGUGUGACCCGACAAGGUAGCAGUAACAGAGCCUACAAUAUCGACACAGAAGAAAUGGAAAUUGAUGACAUUCAACGAAUAAUGGAUCUAAUGAAAGUCAGAUCUGCUUAGAGAUCAGUUGAUUGUUCUUGAGCUGCAAAAAGAGAAUAAUAUUUAUUUCGUUGGAAUAAUAAUAAACCAAAGUUACAAUACCACUAAUGUUAGUUUUGUUGCUGUAUAUAUCUGUUACCACAUAUCAUUUAUGAAUAAAAAGAUCUUGCAGACAAGGUUAAUAAAAACAAAACUUAUUUUCG